UUACGGUUAUAUCACGUUGCAACACAAGUUCUCGUACGAUCACCGAAGUUAAACAACGUCGAGCCUGGUUAGUAUCUAGAUGGGUGACCGCUUAGGAAUACCAGGUGCUGUAAG